rnacentral:rRNA from 1 species
GGCGAUGGACGCUGGAAUGCCUCAUCGCCCAAAGCUCCGGCGCUCGAGGAUGAGACUGCGGCCUAUCAGGCUGUUGGUGGUGUAACGGACCACCAAACCUACGACGGGUAUGGGCAAUGAGAGUUGGAGCCCAGAGAUGGGGACUGAGACAAGGCCCCAGGCCCUACGGGGCGCAGCAGGCGCGAAAACUCCGCAAUGCGCGAAAGCGUGACGGGGGAACCCCAAGUGCCGUUGGUCUUUUGAUCGACGGCUUUUCGGAAGUCUAGGAAGCUUCCGGAAUAAGGGCUGGGCAAGUCUGGUGCCAGCCGCCGCGGUAAUACCAGCAGCCCAAGUGGUGGUCGCGUUUAUUGGGCCUAAAGCGCUCGUAGCCGGGUCUGUAAGUCCCUUGUGAACUCUGACGGCUCAACCGUUCGGCUUGCAAGGGAGACUGCUAGCCUUGGAACCGGGAGAGGUCGGGGGUACUUCGGGGGUAGCGGUGAAAUGCUGUAAUCCCUGGGGGACCACCAGUGGCGAAGGCGCCCGGCCAGAACGGAUUCGACGGUGAGGGGCGAAGGCUGGGGGAGCGAACGGGAUUAGAUACCCCGGUAGUCCCAGCUGUAAAGGAUGCGGGCUGGGUGUCAGGUGCCCUUCGAGAGCACCUGGUGCCGUAGGGAAGCCGUUAAGCCCGCCGCCUGGGAAGUACGGUCGCAAGGCUGAAACUUAAAGAAAUUGGCGGGGGAGCACCACAAGGGGUGGGACCUGCGGUUUAA